rnacentral:sRNA from 2 species
CACCGAGAACGUUCGGGCAGGAGUGGGGGAACCACACGUUCCACGCGGACGGCCCGACCAGGUCGACCGCUCGGGGUGAAGUCACCGCCAGGUGGCAGGGCACUUUCCAGCCCUAACCCGACAGCUCACCUCGCAGGCGUGGGAAAG